CCCGUCCCUCACGUGGGCUCGCAGCUGGCCACGCCGUCGCCGCGGAAGCCGCGCUGGCAGCGGCACUGGAAGCUGCCGGGGCUGUUGUGGCAGCGCGCCCGCGGGUGGCACCGCGCCAGCCCCAGCGCGCACUCGUCCACGUCGGGGCACGCGCCGUACCACCACCGGCCGCGCCCGCGGUCACUCUGGUCACUCUGGUCACUCUGGUCACUCUGGUCACUCUGGGGGUCAGCCUGACCCUCAGCCUGACCCUCAGCCCGAUGGUCACUCUGGUCACUCUGGUCACUCUGGGGGUCAGCCUGACCCUCAGCCCGAUGGUCACUCCGAUGGUCACUCUGGUCACUCUGGGGGUCAGCCUGACCCUCAGCCUGACCCUCAGCCCGAUGGUCACUCCCAUGGUCACUCUGGGGGUCAGCCUGACCCUCAGCCCGAUGGUCACUCCCAUGGUCACUCUGGUCACUCUGGGGGUCAGCCUGACCCUCAGCCUGAUGGUCACUCCCAUGGUCACUCUGGUCACUCUGGGGGUCAGCCUGACCAUCAGCCUGACGGUCAUUCUGAUGGUCACUCCGAUGGUCAGCCUGACCCUCAGCCUGAUGGUCACUCCGAUGGUCACUCGGCUGGUCACUCUGGUCACUCUGCUGGCUGCUCUGAUGGUCAUUCUGCUGGUCACUUUGGUGGUCACUCUGCUGGUCACUCUGCUGGCUGCUCUGAUGGUCACUCUGCUGGUCACUCGGCUGGUCACUCAGCUGGUCACUCUGCUGGCUGCUCUGAUGGUCACUCUGCUGGUCACUUUGGUGGUCACUCUGCUGGUCACUCUGCUGGCUGCUCUGAUGGUCACUCUGGCGGUCACUCAGCUGGUCAUGGUGAUGGUCACCCAGCUGGUCACUCAGCUGGUCAGCCCAGUGGUCAUUCUGAUGGUCACUCAGCUGGCCACUCUGCUGGUCAUUCUGAUGGUCACUCCAGUGGCCACUCUGCUGGUCAUUCUGAUGGUCACUUUGGUGGUCACUCUGCUGGUCACCGUGCUGGUCGUUCUGCUGGCCACCUUCCUGGUCACUCAGGUGGUCACUCUGGUCACUGUGGUCACUGUGGUCACUCUGCUGGUCACUCUGGUCACUCAGGUGGUCACUCAGGUGGUCACUCUGGUCACUCAGGUGGUCACUGUGGUCACUCAGGUGGUCACUCUGGUCACUGUGGUCACUGUGGUCACUGAGGUGGUCACUCUGGUCACUCAGGUGGUCACUCAGGUGGUCACUCUGGUCACUGUGGUCACUGUGGUCACUCAGGUGGUCAAUCUGGUCACUCAGGUGGUCACUCUGGUCACUCUGGUCACUCUGGUCACUCAGGUGGUCACUCUGGUCACUCAGGUGGUCACUCAGGUGGUCACUGUGGUCACUCAGGUGGUCACUGUGGUCACUCUGCUGGUCACUCUGGUCACUCUGCUGGUCACUCUGGUCACUGUGGUCACUCUGGUCACUCAGGUGGUCACUCUGGUCACUGUGGUCACUGUGGUCACUCCGCUGGUCACUCUGGUCACUCAGGUGGUCACUGUGGUCACUCAGGUCACUCAGGGCCACCGAGCAGUUGGGGAAGUCCCGGGGACCCGCGAAGUCGCCCUCCAAGCAGCUGGGAGAGAAAAUUCGGGAAUUUUGGGAAAUUUUGGGAAUUUUUGGGGGGUUUGGGUGGUAAGACGGGGGAAAAGGGGAAAAAAAUUGAAAUUG
rnacentral:lncRNA from 1 species